rnacentral:rRNA from 1 species
AUUGAACGCUGGCGGAAUGCUUUACACAUGCAAGUCGAACGGUAACAGGUCUUCGGAUGCUGACGAGUGGCGAACGGGUGAGUAAUACAUCGGAACGUGCCCGAUCGUGGGGGAUAACGCAGCGAAAGCUGUGCUAAUACCGCAUACGAACUACGGAUGAAAGAGGGGGGUCGUAAGACCUCGCGCGAUUGGAGUGGCCGGUGUCAGAUUAGCUAGUUGGUGGGGUAAAGGCCUACCAAGGCAACGAUCUGUAGCUGGUCUGAGAGGAUGAUCAGCCACACUGGGACUGAGACACGGCCCAGACUCCUACGGGAGGCAGCAGUGGGGAAUUUUGGACAAUGGGCGCAAGCCUGAUCCAGCCAUGCCGCGUGCAGGAUGAAGGCCUUCGGGUUGUAAACUGCUUUUGUACGGAACGAAAAGACUCUGGUUAAUACCUGGGGUCCAUGACGGUACCGUAAGAAUAAGCACCGGCUAACUACGUGCCAGCAGCCGCCGUAAUAC